UAUAUACUGAACAAAAAAGUGUGAAACAACUGAAAAUAUGUCUUAUAUUGUAGGUUCUUCAAAGUAGCCACCUUUUGCUUCGAUUAUUGCUCCGCACACUCUUGGCAUUCUGUUGAAGAGCUUCACAGGAUAGAGUAGAAGGUUUUAGUGCGAUUAGAGUCGCCAUUUAGGGUCUAAUGUGUCCUGAAUUGUAUGUGCAUGCCAUUGUUUUGAAACUUGCUGGUACUGUCGGAUGCCGCCGUGUCUCGCAAGUGUGUCUUUAUCGUGCGAACACCUGCACGCAGGUGCGCUGUCAAACUGGACCGCUAUAAUAACCUUAUGGUGAAAAUCAACCAUUUUCUUUGUCUUAAACUUCAACGUUUUACUGGUUUGCCACCAAAAGGGUUUAUGAUCCUUUGUGUGGGCUGAGUUUUACAACCUUGCUGGGGGAAGGUUUAUGACUGCCUGUGUCCUGCUGAGCUACACUUGGGAGGGGCACACUCAAAGCUUCGUUCAUUGCUCUACAUGCUGUAAUACUCAAUAUAUUUUUAAAUAUAUAUAUAUACACAACUGACUUUACAAUUAAAUAUAUCGUGAGAUCAGUCCAAGUAUGCAUGGUGUUGUUCUGGAAGUGUUCAUCAGAGAAACAGCCUGAGUGAAGAAACUGUCUCUGUGGGGGCUUGUUUUAGCACACAGCACUCUGUAGUGCCACCUGAAGGUAAAAGUCUAAACAGUUUGUGUGCAGGUUGUGUGGGGUCUGCAGAGAUUUUAGCUGUCCUUUCAAAGUUUAAGAAUAGAUAACAUCUCAAAAUAGGGGAUCAUUAACUGUGACAAUUGAAUUCUAUUUAUGCAAUAAAAUCUUAUCGGUCUCAUUAAUGAAAUAUCUUCCUCUCUCUCUAAACUUGAGGGAUUGUUGCCCAGAGCGACUUAACUAUUGUGUCUCACCAAGGGAGUCCCUCUAAGGUCGGGACACUGUCGGUUCUGUGGCACAGUCUAGGUGUCUUGAGUGUUUAUUUAUCUGGAAAUCAGGACCAAAUUGAACAAAAUAAUAAAAAUAAUCUAUCUUACUGUACAAAGUGAUGAUAAGUCAGCUAAAUAGACUGAGCCUCUCCUUUUAUGGUUCUGGUACUGUGACCCUCCUGAUUAGCCCAUCACUCCUUUUCACCGUCUCAAUUUACCCUGUCAUACAUCACCCCAUCAUGAUCACGGAGGAGUUUUUUCCAUGUUUCAUUAGCUGAUAGACUCUGCUAUUAUUAUAUUAGAUUCUCAGAGUCAUAUUAGUUUAUGCCUCUGAGAGUCUUAUAACAUUAGAUAAAACAGGCACAGUUUUAUGGCAACAUUAUAUAAAACUGGCACAGUUCCUUCUAAAAUGUAAACACGAGAAUUCAUUCAUGUUCAGAAGCCCAGUAUGUUUAAUUUGCUGAAAAACAUAAUUAUCAUUUCUAAAUAAACAGUUCAUCAUAACUACUUUGUAGACUUUAUACUUUGACCAUUACAGGAGCAUCAUCUGUACAAAAAAAAGGAUAAUUUUAGCUAAAUGCAAAGUCAUGAUAAAAGCCUUUUCAACAGCCUAUGUCAGAGUGUGGCAUCUCUGCAAAAAGGCCUGGCUUUUGUGUAUUUCUAAGACUAUUUGCUGUUGUUUUAAUUUGCUUAUUGCAUUUUUUGUAGAUUUUGGAUAUCAAAAGUGGAGUUCACAGGUCUUUGCAACGGUUUUUUUAAUGGAUUGGAAGCUGAAAAGUUUGGGAACCAUAUUUUAAACAGAAAUAUGCAUAGAGCUCACAAUAAACAGCUGACUACAAGUGCCUGCCAGCAAAAGCCUUGUACACAAAUGUUACUUUUUUCCUCAUCAAAAAUCUAAUAAAACUGAAGAUUCUCUGUUAUUGAAGAAGCUUUGGCUUGUUGACUUGGGAAGCAGGGCAGACAUUGAGCCAAGAAAUAGGUGUAGCAAUGAGCUGUUGGGAGAACCACUUUCUGUUUCUUUAGAAUAUUAAACACAUUAUGAUCCCCCAUCAGUCACCUGGUCACAUAAUCAUGCUUGCUUCUGCGUGUAUUCCCACAGAUCUAGAGCCCCUUCUCCAGGUUCGUAUAUCAUUGUCCUCAAUAAACCGGCUCAGGAUAAUUGCUGCUGACGUGAGCCCUGUUGUGGGCAGAGAUUCAUGAUGGAGCCACCUCCUGUGUUCAGCCUGUGUCUAUGAAGUGUUUUAAUCAGGAAGUGCAAAUUAUGCAAAGAAGGUUUCUGAGGAGGACGAGACAAAUGGAACGUUCAAUGAUUAAAAAAUUAAAAUUUUCUUUUAAACUUGCCUUUAUGUCCUGUCAGAUCUUGCUGUUUACAACAGCAGUAACAUCACAGAUUUUUUAACAGACUAAUAAAUAGCUAAGAUAAUUUGUCAUAUAAGGUUCGCAGAUGUACCAGAGUGUCAUGGAGUGACAUUUUUGGACUCUGUUUGUGGCUUUGUGUUUGUUUACCUUUUGCUUAGAUGUUUCUAUUUUGGUUUUUGUAUCAUGUUUUCUUUUCUCCCUCUUCGGCCUCCUAGUGUUUACUUCUUAAGUUCUUUUAUGGUUGUUUUCUUAGACGUCUCACUGUGAGCUAAUUGAUGCUUGGAGCGGAGGCCUGCAUCCUGCUGAUAUCAUGCCGAGCAGUUUGUCCAAUCACUUAAAGUAACACAAACACAGUAUGUGAUUGAGACCUGGAAAUAAAUCACUGAAAUAUGAGACGGGAAUCUGUAGUUACUUUCAUAUGCACACACAUUAUGUUUAUUUAGCCAACAGAAGAACAAUAUGUACAGUAACCAGUUGUUUACAUACAGUGAAAGGGAGCCUCAUUAGGUGAGACUCAAUUUCCAGAAAAUUUAUUAGAAAGUAAGAUAACCAGUUUAAACACCAAGCCCAGUGGGCGUUGUAGUGUAUGCACAUUUUACAAGAGCUGCAGGGAGUGUUCAAACCUUUUAUGUAGCUAUUUACAAUUUUGCAGUUCCCAAAAACAGGUAUGAUUUUAGUUUUUAUAGCAUUAGUAUAUUUAUUUCCUUCAGCAGUCACAUAUACAGAAUCCACCUAUGUGUUAUUUAAGCUCUGUAUGAGUACAGCUGUCCUGUGGGGAUGUUUUUCUUUAGCAGGUGCAGUGAAGCUGAUCAGUAGAUAUGAAAUGGAUGGAGCUAAAUACAAAGAAAUCCUGGAGGAAAACAUGUUACACAAGACUUGAGUGGAGGUUCCGUUAGGACAACCCUAAACACACAGCCAGAGCUACAAUGGAAUGCACUGACUGAUUAACUCAGCACAGUAAAGUUGGCAGCAGGAAUGUGACUCAGAAGUCAAAACAGUCACUUUCCUGCCAAAGAGGAGACCUGAAAACAUCACACCACCCAAACACUGCAGAAUCCACAUCAGCUGCCAGGAGAUACAUUUUUACAGCCCUCAGCUGCAUGAAUGUUAAAAUUGCGAUUCUUGAGCGUAUUGUUCAUUGACACUUUUACCUGCCACUGCUGCCUCUUUACACUGCUCAGUACCUGAAGGCCACUGAUUGGUCAGCCUGCCUGUAGCCCCUCAGAGUGAAACACACGAUGCAUUCAGUUACUUUAUUUGCAGUUUCUCAACCAUUUCAGACCUUCAUGUGACCUCAUCAGCAAACUGGAGAAUGAUUUACCAGCAGGGCAAACAUUCGGUGCAGUCACUAACACCGUGGUUACAGGGUCAUUCUGAAAGAUCACAUUCAUGCAAAAUGAGGUGCAUGGAUGGCAUUAAAUGUGGUUUACCUUUUAUAAGUUUUCUUCAGUCGUUGCAACAUAAAGGAAAGAAAAAUUAUCAUCAUCAUGCACCUUGCAAUUAUGAACAAAGUGAACCUGUCCCUUUGCAGAAAUAAACAGAGCAAAAACCUUAUAUGAUCCAUUAAAGAAGAGAUUUACACACUGUUUUUCCUCUUCCUCCUGUUUCUUCAUUUUGCAUAUUGCAGCUAUGCUUAAAGGCUGGUAUUGAUCCAGCAGAAUGAAAUGCAAAUACUUGUAAUUUUAUCCCUGAUCUAUAGUGUACUACCAGCCAGCUGUGUGUUACAUCAUUUAGCUUAAGUUGUUAAAACUUCAAACAUUUGCUAAUAGUUUUUAUUUGUUUUGUUUCAGUUAUGACAGGUACUAGUUAUGAUGCUUCCCCAGAUUAGCCAAAUAAAUUCCAAUUGGCCUACAUUGCUUUAUCACAAUGUAGAUCAGUUUUCCUGGCAAGUUUACUGGAAGUUCCUGUUGCUCCAUGCAAAAUACCUCUCCACAGUACAGUUUCAAUUGGAUGUUUCUUCUGCGUUGCCUGUUUGAAGUUAUCAACUCCAUCUCUGGGGAAGAACGUUUUAGUUGUGGGAGUCAUUACAAAAUGGGAUAGGUCGGUAUGGAAAAAUUGGGUGUGAGGUGUCACAAACUCUUGAGAUGUUUUGAGGUUAAGUGUAGUAGUUUCUUAUUUUUUCAGUUCAGGAAGUUCUGUUAUUUCCGCUUUUUCUUGUUGCUGUAAUGUUCUGCUUUUAAGGUAGGAUUCACUUUAUUUCCUGUUUUAUUUUGAAAACCUGGCUGUUUUUUUUAUUUUUUAUCUGGAGCUACACGAAUCACCACUUAUGGGUUUAUUAUCUAUACUAUCAGCUCCUCGGCCCACAAUCUGUGUGGUUUCUGUAGUUCUCAGCUGGACCAUUGUGGCAACCGCCCUCCUCUUUAGUUUGUCACUCCUGACACAUACAUGUUUUUAUGAUUUUGUUUAUUAAAUUCUUUAUUGUGUA